UUCUUGAAAUAAACAGUAAUAAAAAGUUAUUACUGACUUAAGUCAUUUUUGCAUUUUUUCCCUAGGCCAAAAAAUUAUAAUACCUGGAAAAUUCCAAAUAUUAUUUUGCAAUGUUACUGGCAAAAUCCUAGAAUAUUAGGCAAGGUCAUGAGGUGAGAUUCUAUCACUUUGCCAUUGAGGAAUCCAAUGUGGGCUUCCAGUGUGACGCAAGUCCUGAUGGAGGGCAUACUGACCACUUCGCCCAGCACCAUACCAGGAAACACUUGAGUCUCCUAUGUGUGCAGAUUUUACAUCUACAAAGUAGGGUUCAACUCUGCAAACUAAGUAAGAAGUAAAGGGAGAUGGGUGCUCAGUGACCCCUAAGAACAGUGGCCCUUUCUCUUGACGCUGAUGGGGAAACAGCAGCACACGUGACUAUUUUAUAGCUGCCCCCACCUUGGGGUCCUUCUGUGCAGUCCCAAUUCUCUUUCCCUGGUGCACACUUGUGCAAUUGUUCUCCACAUUUUGGGAUAAAAAACCCUUUUUGUAAAGUAUUUUGGCUCAUUAAAAGCGUAAGACUAGGUUUGUUUUUCUUACACUUUAAGAAAGCCCUGUUAAGUUUUUCAGAGCAUGUUUCUAAGAUCUGGAGUUGCUGUGAGGUGUUAAAUGAAAAAAGUUUCGUGGCCAGACUUCAAUCUUGUGCUUUCUUGAAUUCACCACCAUUCGUAGGCUAGUUAAUACUCACUGAUUGUCUCUCGGUAACAGUCCAGCACACCAUAGGGUUGAUGCGAAUAGAUUGGGAAAAGCUGGGAUGCUUAGGAUUUAGUGCCUAGGCUCUCUAAGAGCUGUUAAUCCUCAAUGGGCAAUGGGCUGUCAGAGGUGAGCAGACAGCAUGUGACCAACCUCCAACACCACCAGGAACACAUUACUCUUUCCUGCAAGGGGGUCCGGAAGAUACGGGUUUGUGAACACCUUUGGUGAGUGCCUGUCUGUAUUGUUACAAUGCCAGCUGACCCCUGUUCUCUGGGCUAAGGCAGUCACUGGCCUGAAAACAGUUUGCUUUUUAGCUUCAACUACAAUGGUGUGACCAUGACUUUUAGUGUGUUGCUAUUUGGGGUCUCCAAGUUCUGUUUCCAAACCUUCUGAAGCAAACUGACAUUGGAAAAAAUCAGUGCUACAAAAUAUUGUUAUUGAGGCAAAAUUCUUUUCCCUAUUCACAUUAAGGCAAUUUCCAUAAAGAAUUAAUCAUGACCAAGAGAGUCUGUGUACAGUUCUGUGGUUAUUUUAGUAUGUAAGAAAGCUAAGCCUGCUGAACACACCUCAUUUCUGCAUUGAUUUCCCUAGCCUUGAAAAGAAACUGAAAACACUUUGAUAAAUGUCCUAAUGAAUAGUGCAGAGUUUCAUUUACAUGUGCUUUAAAAGACUCUUGAAUAAUAUCAAGUAGACUCAAAAUUGACAUCUGAACAUCACAAGACAAACCCUAAAGGAGCCAAGGGAGGGUGAAGUCACUUCUGCUGGUGUAGCCUCUGAGCUGAGUGCUGACAUGCAAAUUGAUACCUUGUCUGUUUACUCCCUUCUCUGAGAGUCUGGCCUGAAUGUGGCUUCAUUUCCACUAAAGUCAGGACUUCUACUCUUAAAGAAAAUGAUAAAGCAAUAGUCUUUACAUUUGAAUGACUGCUAGGAAAUUUAACUUGUUUGAAACUUAGAGAGCCUUUUACUCAAUAGUGUACUUUCUUGACUCCCCCAUCUUUUAUGGUAUCAAAAUGCUUCUUCAUUUUGUCUUGGUCAUACUCCACAUACCAUCAAGCUGCUGUUGUUACAAAUCCUGAAGAGUAGAAUGAAACCUUCUAUUGUCUUUGGAAUGACCUCUGUCACAGGUUAUUUGCUUUCUCUUGGGCAGUCGCAGUACCUGUCACUCAAUGAAGUGACAUAAUGUAUUUUACUCAAAGCCCAGGCUUUAGUGGGCAGCAUGGCUCAGGGACACUCCUGAUACAGCAAAACAGUCACACUGAUCAUGAACAGUGAGUGAGUGAGUGGCUUUUGCAGAGGUGGCAUGAAGUGCACAGACUGAAAGCAUCACACAUAGGAUGGGCGCCUAGCUGCACCACCUACCAGCUGGGUGGCUUUGGGCAAAUCACUCUCUCUGUGCCUCUCAGCAGUGUGCAAGGAGCGGGGUAAGUAUACUCAGUGCUGGGUAUACUGAAAUGCUGAAACCUGCUGUUGUUACUUAUUGUUUGCACUUCAAUCAGAAUGAGUCCCUGGGAUUUCUCUAAAAGUACACCACUUAUACCACUUCCCUCAGUACUGUAAGAAGCAACUCUUCUGCUCAUCAUGCAGCCGAUGAAUGUGACCUUAUGCUGAAUGUUUAUGAUGGCUCAUAGAAUAGGAAGAAAUGGCCCUAGAUCAACAGAUGAUCAACCCCACUGAACAUCAAGCUUUUGGAACAAAUUCAAUUUGUGUAUGUAAAUCAGGAGGUGAAAGAACAUCAUCUUGUAUGCUUACAAAGACUACAUUCUGUAGAACAUCUUCAAAUCUAAUCUAGCUUGUUAAAUUACUUUUCAAAUCAAAUAGGAAUAUGGACUUAAGCAUGAUGGGAUCAGAAUUACUCGAACAAUGCAAUUCCAUAAAAAGAACUUUGCAUGGGAUGUGGUUGGGAUGGAUACUUAUGAUAAAAGCAAAGCGAGAGGGGUCUUUGUUUAGAUCAAUUGCAAUCCCCAGGUAUUUGAUCAUUCAUUCAACCUACCAACAUUUACUAAAUGAGAAUAUGGGAGAGAUGCUCUGGAGACACAAAGCUUAAAAUAAAAGGAUCCCUAUACCCUCAGACCCUAGAACAAACAUAGAAAGAGCUAAAGACAAGAAACUGUAAAUUAGAACAUAAAACCAUAAAAACUGUAAAUUAGAACUAGAAACCCCCAAAAGGAAGUACUGGCUCCCCUAAAAAGCCAGUAUAUGGAAAGGAUAUGGCAGCACUCAGCUCCUGCUCUCAUUCACUAUCUCUGUGCUGUGCUUUACAGAGGAAGGCUCAAGAAACACCCUCACAGGGGUGUGUGCUUUUCGUCCAGGUUACAUAAAGUUAUUGGAGAACUAUUUCACUUUACAUGUGUAGUUUUUAACUACCUCCAUAUAUUAAAACAGCUAUGAAUAUAUAAGCAAGAGAAUUGCGGCCUGUGCACUUUGAUUUUGAGGCUGGAACAGGUGAUUUCAGCCAACAGUUGCUUUGGAGCAGGUGCAGACAGUCUGAGUCUCCUGGGCUCCAAGCAGCAUGGGCAGAUUGUUCUCUGGACUCAGGGCUGCCUUAGAGUCCUGCUCAUUGCUAUGUCCUUUCUCCCUUUCUUACAGGUCUAUAUCAUUGGAAGCUGGAGAAUCGGAGAAUGGAAGAUUCCGUCAGCUACAAAGUCAUAACCAACAGGUUCUGCCUGAAAGCAAGGUGGGGGGGUGAGGGGGAAGAGCUGGUCCAAACAAUAUAUAUACACAUGCACAGCUAUAUAAACAAUAAAAUUCAUAACCAACCAGCUAGAUCAUGUUGGCUCCAUGGAAGCUGUAUGAUUUGCUAAUUCCUUUUAAUUUUACUUAAAUGAUAAAUACCACAUAUCAAGUCUUUUGUGAAUAGACAACAAAUAUUUUGAGAUCAAGGUUAAAUAUGUCCUCCAAAAUGUCAGGAAGGAGAAUAAGAACAACAGGACACUUCUAAAACCAUCUGCAGGAGAGCAAAAUAAGUCCACUAAAUCAGAGAAGCAGAAUUUUCAAAAACAAUAAGAAAUAAAAAUGAAAUCAAAUGCAGUCAACAAGAAUGUCCCAUUGUUUUUCUUGGUUAACUGAGAAUUGAUACUGUCCUAUGAAAGCCAUUCUAGAAAAUACAAGAAAGAAAAUCUAAAGUCUUAUUAAUCAGUUCCCAGGUUGAGUGAAAAAUAGUCCAUAAAUACACAGAGAAAGUAGAAAGAGUGAAGCAUUUAAUAAAAGUAUAAAACCUUGGGGCUUCUGAUUUACUAUUUUGAAAUGAGAUUUCAUGAAAGUCAUUGGCUUGUUCCCCACUAGUUGAAGUCCUCGUGUGUGUGUGUGUUUGGAUGCACAUUGCUGGGGGAAAAGAUCCAAAUUUUUUAUGUAUGUAAAUUCUUUGAGUGAAACGGAGAGGACAAAUAUACUUCACAUUAGCACAGAAAGUAGCAUUAAAGAAACACCACACACAAUGGCACUGAGCAAUGAAUUAUCAUAGUAAAUCACACGUCACAAGGGUCACGCUGAGAUGAACAAGGUUGACCUUUCCAUUAGUAAUAGAUGACCAAGGACAGUCAUGGUCACAACUCUUGUUUUGUUAUUAUUUUGUGGGGGGGGCACCAGAGCUCUGAACUCUGAGCUUCACGCUUGUGGGCAAAUGCUCUACCACUUGAGCUGUGUCUCCAGCCCUUCUACUCUUACUUAAUGCUUCCCCAGGGCGUUAACUUCUUCAGACAAAACCAAAAAAUAAAUUAAAUAAGGGACAUAAACAGUUAAGUUUAUUAUUAAGAAUAAUUAUAAAAUAUCAGUAUACACAGACACAUUCAUUUAAUUGGAAAAAAUGGAAUAAAAACCAGUGGUAUAAUUAAGAGCACUCAGUUCAUGCUUGUUAUCCCAGCUAUGUGGGAGAAAAAGGAAGGCAGAUCACAAUCCAAGUAGAGACCCAGGCCAAGCUGAGACCGCAGCUGGAAAAAAGGACUAAAGCAAAAAGUGCUGCCGGUGUGGCUCAAGAAACAGAGCACUUGCCUAGCAAGUGUGAGGCCCUGAUUUCAAACACCCGUAUCAUACCUCCUCAAAAAAAAAGUGUUCAACUGGUCUAGCAAAAGCUUCAUAUAUUAACAUGGAGAGAUUUUCUAAAGGAUGUUCUAUAAUUAGUUAGAAAGAAUUAUUUUAAAAACUUUAAACCUAAUCACAGAGUAUAUAAAACACUCAGAAGCUAAAGGGGAAUACAUAAGGUCUGUAUAAACGGAGGUAGAGAAGGCUAUGGGUCUACAGGAAGACAUCACAGCAGUGUGACGUGUAACACAGGGCUCCUGGGGGAAGAUGAGGUGAGGGAGAGAAGCAAGACCAGCACAAACCUAACACAGACUGGAGAAGCCAAUGAUUCGGGGUUUCUGAAGACCAAGUAGAUCCAGACAUUAACAAAUUAUUUACAGAUUCUAAUAGCUCUGCAGAGAGAUAUUUAUUAUUCAUCAUCACCUUUUAAAAAUUCAUGAAACUGUACUUAGCGAUACUGUAUCUCAGAAAAAAAUCACAUUUUCUCUCACACUUAAAUAUAGCUGUUAUAAGUUAUUGAGAAGGAAAACAAAUCCACUAAGUAGUAUGUAGCUUCAGAAGGAGCCAAUUUCUUUUUUUUCCCUCCAGGACAGGGUCUUGUUAUGUAACCCCGGCUGGUUUGGUUUUGUGAAUCUCCCACCUUCACCUCCCCAGUGCUGGGAUUAUUCACAUGCCUAGCCUGUGAGUUUUUAGGCCCAAUUUAACCAUAAUUGUAACCUUUUCUUAUGCACAAUUAAAAAUCAGUGGAACCAAAAAAAAUCGACAAUGUUAAUAUAUUUUUUCAAAAGAAAAAAGAAACUAAUUUAAAUAUUAGAAAAAGUACUAACGACUUCCAACAAACUUUCCCCCAUGAUUGUUCUACAAAAGUAACAAACUUGAAUGCCUUUAAUUCAGGCUCAUUCAGAAGCCUCAAGGUCACAAAUUUCAAAAGAGAAUGCUCAAAAUGACAUCUGUAUAUCAGUCUUGUGCAUAAAGGAGGGACACCACUCAAAGAAAUUCAGGCAGUUGCUUCUAGAUGGAUGUGAGAUAAGACUGUUUGAAGUGGCUUUUUUCCUCUUAUGCUAGAAAACUGUGUUACUCAUUUUUAACUUCUUUUGAAAUGAAAACAUUUGAGAGGUAGAAAACUAUAUAAAAAUAAUUUAACAAACAAUUGUAUGCCUGCCACGAACUUCUACAGAAAAAGACAUAAAUACCAUGUAUGGAAAGAGAAACUCUUUCCUCCAUCUAGAGAGGCAUCAGCACCCACUUUUCUACCCUUUACACAUGAGUGUAAAUGCAGGGCUGUUCCAGAGGCUUCAGUUUUACAGAGUAGCAUCCUGCCAUGUACCCAAAACACAGCACUUUGCGAUGUUUAACUCAGUUGAGGAUUUGGAUGUCUGUCUGUCCCUGUUGGAGUGUGGAGAUCCAGUCCUGUCAUCAGUUUGAGAACAAAGCUCUUGUCUUGAUGACACCACCAGCUAGUUCUUCAUUUUCCUGAUGAUGGACUUGG